AGCGAACGCUGGCGGCAGGCCUAACACAUGCAAGUCGAACGAACCCUUCGGGGUUAGUGGCGGACGGGUGAGUAACACGUGGGAACGUGCCCUUUGGUUCGGAACAACUCAGGGAAACUUGAGCUAAUACCGAAUGUGCCCUUCGGGGGAAAGAUUUAUCGCCAUUGGAGCGGCCCGCGUCUGAUUAGCUUGUUGGUGAGGUAAAGGCUCACCAAGGCUACGAUCAGUAGCUGGUCUGAGAGGAUGAUCAGCCACAUUGGGACUGAGACACGGCCCAAACUCCUACGGGAGGCAGCAGUGGGGAAUCGUGCGCAAUGGGCGAAAGCCUGACGCAGCCAUGCCGCGUGAAUGAUGAAGGUCUUAGGAUUGUAAAAUUCUUUCACCGGGGACGAUAAUGACGGUACCCGGAGAAGAAGCCCCGGCUAACUUCGUGCCAGCCGCCGCAGUAACAC
rnacentral:rRNA from 1 species